UACGAAGGGGGCUAGCGUUGCUCGGAAUUACUGGGCGUAAAGCGCACGUAGGCGGCUUUCUAAGUCGGGGGUGAAAUCCUGGAGCUCAACUCCAGAACUGCCUUCGAUACUGGAGAGCUUGAGUCCGGGAGGAGGUGAGUGGAACUGCGAGUGUAGAGGUGAAAUUCGUAGAAUAUUCGCAAGAACACCAGUGGCGAAAGGCGGCUCA
rnacentral:rRNA from 1 species